GAUGAACGCUGGCGGCGUGCUUAACACAUGCAAGUCGAACGGAAAGGCUCCUGCUUGCAGGGGUACUCGAGUGGCGAACGGGUGAGUAACACGUGGGUGAUCUGCCCUGCACUUCGGGAUAAGCCUGGGAAACUGGGUCUAAUACCGGAUAGGACGAUGGUUUGGAUGCCAUUGUGGAAAGUUUUUUCGGUGUGGGAUGAGCUCGCGGCCUAUCAGCUUGUUGGUGGGGUAAUGGCCUACCAAGGCGUCGACGGGUAGCCGGCCUGAGAGGGUGUACGGCCACAUUGGGACUGAGCUACGGCCCAGACUCCUACGGGAGGCAGCAGUGGGGAAUAUUGCACAAUGGGCGCAAGCCUGAUGCAGCGACGCCGCGUGGGGGAUGACGGCCUUCGGGUUGUAAACUCCUUUCGCUAGGGACGAAGCGCAAGUGACGGUACCUGGAGAAGAAGCACCGGCUAACUACGUG
rnacentral:rRNA from 1 species